rnacentral:tRNA from 1 species
GCGGACGUGGCGGAAUUGGUAGACGCAAGGGACUUAAAAUCCCUCGGCCUUGGCUAUACGGGUUCGAUUCCCGUCGUCCGCACCA